rnacentral:tRNA from 1 species
CAUUAUGAAGCUAAGAGCGUUAACCUUUUAAGUUAAAGUUAGAGACCUUAAAAUCUCCAUAAUGAU